ACCCCUCCAUUGAUAGCUCAGGCAGCAGAGAAUGAAAUUCUUAAUCUCAGUAUUGUGGGUUCGAGCCCCACUUUGGGUG